UGGGGAAUAUUGCGCAAUGGGCGAAAGCCUGACGCGGCGACGCCGCGUGAGGGAUGAAGGUUUUCGGAUCGUAAACCUCUGUCAGAAGGGAAGAAACCGCACUGUGCUAAUCAGCAGUGCCUUGACGGUACCUUCAAAGGAAGCACCGGCUAACUCCGUGCCAGCAGCCGCGGUAAUACGGAGGGUGCAAGCGUUAAUCGGAAUUACUGGGCGUAAAGCGCACGUAGGCUGCUUUGUAAGUCAGGGGUGAAAUCCCACGGCUCAACCGUGGAACUGCCUUUGAUACUGCUUAGCUUGAAUCCGGGAGAGGGUGGCGGAAUUCCAGGUGUAGGAGUGAAAUCCGUAGAUAUCUGGAGGAACAUCAGUGGCGAAGGCGGCCACCUGGACCGGUAUUGACGCUGAGGUGCGAAAGCGUGGGGAGCAAACAGG
rnacentral:rRNA from 1 species